rnacentral:rRNA from 1 species
GAUGAACGCUGGCGGCGUGCCUAAUACAUGCAAGUCGAGCGAACAGACGAGGAGCUUGCUCCUCUGACGUUAGCGGCGGACGGGUGAGUAACACGUGGAUAACCUACCUAUAAGACUGGGAUAACUUCGGGAAACCGGAGCUAAUACCGGAUAAUAUAUUGAACCGCAUGGUUCAAUAGUGAAAGACGGUUUUGCUGUCACUUAUAGAUGGAUCCGCGCCGCAUUAGCUAGUUGGUAAGGUAACGGCUUACCAAGGCAACGAUGCGUAGCCGACCUGAGAGGGUGAUCGGCCACACUGGAACUGAGACACGGUCCAGACUCCUACGGGAGGCAGCAGUAGGGAAUCUUCCGCAAUGGGCGAAAGCCUGACGGAGCAACGCCGCGUGAGUGAUGAAGGUCUUCGGAUCGUAAAACUCUGUUAUAGGGAAGAACAAAUGUGUAAGUAACUAUGCACGUCUUGACGGUACCUAAUCAGAAAGCCACGGCUAACUACGUG